AAGUCGUAACAAGGUAACCGUAGGUGAACCUGCGGUUGGAUCAUUAAAAAAUAAACUUCAUUGCCCAAAAUCAAUUGCCAACUGAGGAUCUUUAAUUGGAUGGUUGAAUACCCUUAGGUUGUUCCCCCUUUUAAAUUGAAGCCUCUCAAGGAACCACAAUUGAUUUUGUGUGCCAAUGUCGACAACUUGUGAACUGUUUCGUCUCUGGCGAGUUGGGGAGCCUAAAAAGCUACCUGUCAGCAGUGCACUUGUGCACUGCCGUGGACAAGCUCGCCACCCUUUUUUUUAACUUCAAUUUUGUUACUUUGAUGUCUGACAUUUAUUUUUAUAAUACAAAAACAACUUUUGGCAACGGAUCUCUUGGCUCUC
rnacentral:misc_RNA from 1 species